GGAGUUUGGGCCGUGUCUCAGUCCCAAUGUGGCCGAUCACUCUCUCAAGUCGGCUACUGAUCGUUGUCUUGGUAGGCCGUUACCCUGCCAACUAGCUAAUCAGACGCGGGUCCAUCCUGUACCACCGGAGUUUUUCACACUGUACCAUGCGGUACUGUGCGCUUAUGCGGUAUUAGCAGUCAUUUCUAACUGUUAUCCCCCUGUACAGGGCAGGUUACCCACGCGUUACUCACCCGUCCGCCACUCAGUCAGUAAAUCGUCACCCCGAAGGGAUCGUAAUAAACUGCUUCGUUCGACUUGCAUGUGUUAAGCACGCCGCCAGCGUUCAUC
rnacentral:rRNA from 1 species